GACUCCAAUAUCCUAAGGAUA
rnacentral:miRNA from 1 species